rnacentral:rRNA from 1 species
GAAAUUGCCCUGAUGUGGGGGAUAACCAUUGGAAACGAUGGCUAAUACCGCAUAAUACCUACGGGUCAAAGAGGGGGACCUUCGGGCCUCUCGCGUCAGGAUAUGCCUAGGUGGGAUUAGCUAGUUGGUGAGGUAAUGGCUCACCAAGGCGACGAUCCCUAGCUGGUCUGAGAGGAUGAUCAGCCACACUGGAACUGAGACACGGUCCAGACUCCUACGGGAGGCAGCAGUGGGGAAUAUUGCACAAUGGGCGCAAGCCUGAUGCAGCCAUGCCGCGUGUGUGAAGAAGGCCUUCGGGUUGUAAAGCACUUUCAGUCGUGAGGAAGGUAGUGUAGUUAAUAGCUGCAUUAUUUGACGUUAGCGACAGAAGAAGCACCGGCUAACUCCGUGCCAGCAGCCGCGGUAAUACGGAGGGUGCGAGCGUUAAUCGGAAUUACUGGGCGUAAAGCGCAUGCAGGUGGUUUGUUAAGUCAGAUGUGAAAGCCCGGGGCUCAACCUCGGAAUAGCAUUUGAAACUGGCAGACUAGAGUACUGUAGAGGGGGGUAGAAUUUCAGGUGUAGCGGUGAAAUGCGUAGAGAUCUGAAGGAAUACCGGUGGCGAAGGCGGCCCCCUGGACAGAUACUGACACUCAGAUGCGAAAGCGUGGGGAGCAAACAGGAUUAGAUACCCUGGUAGUCCACGCCGUAAACGAUGUCUACUUGGAGGUUGUGGCCUUGAGCCGUGGCUUUUCGGAGCUAACGCGUUAAGUAGACCGCCUGGGGGAGUACGGUCGCAAGAUUAAAACUCAAAUGAAAUUGACGGGGGCCCGCACAAGCGGUGGAGCAUGUGGUUUAAUUCGAUGCAACGCGAAGAAACCUUACCUACUCUUGACAUCCAGAGAACUUUUCCAGAGAUGGAUUGGGUGCCUUCGGGGAACUCUGAGACAGGUGCCUGCAUGGGCUGGUCGUCAGCUCCGUGUUGUGAAAUGUUGGGGUUAAAGUCCCGCCAACGAGCGCAACCCUUAUCCUUGUUUGCCAGCACUUCGGGUGGGAACUCCAGGGAGACUGCCGGUGAUAAACCGGAGGAAGGUGGGGACGACGUCAAGUCAUCA